AUACGUAGGAGGCAAGCGUUGUCCGGAUUUACUGGGCGUAAAGGGCGUGUAGGCGGUUCAGGAAGUCCCUGGUGAAAUCUCCCAGCUCAACUGGGAUAGGUCUGAGGAUACUCCUGAACUUGAGGGCAGUAGAGGAGAGUGGAAUUCCCGGUGGAGUGGUGAAAUGCGUUGAUAUCGGGAGGAACACCAGAGGCGAAGGCGGCUUCCUGGACAGACACUGACGCUGAGGCGCGAAAGCUAGGGGAGCAAACGGGAGUAGAAACCCCGGUAGUCC
rnacentral:rRNA from 1 species